GAUGAAGAACGUAGCGAAAUGCGAUAAGUAAUGUGAAUUGCAGAAUUCAGUGAAUCAUCGAAUCUUUGAACGCACAUUGCGCCCCCUGGUAUUCCGGGGGGCAUGCCUGUUCGAGCGUCAUUUCACCACUCAAGCCUCGCUUGGUAUUGGGCAACGCGGUCCGCCGCGUGCCUCAAAUCGUCCGGCUGGGUCUUCUGUCCCCUAAGCGUUGUGGAAACUAUUCGCUAAAGGGUGUUCGGGAGGCUACGCCGUAAAACAACCCCAUUUCUAAGGUUGACCUCGGAUCAGGUAGGGAUACCCGCUGAACAUAAGCAUAUCAAUAAGCGGAGGA
rnacentral:misc_RNA from 1 species